GUUAAAUAAUGUAUAUCCACGUGCUUGUCAUAUCUAGAUUCCUAAACAAAGUCAUCAUUGCCUGUCAAAGAUCAGGUAUGUAUGUAUGUAACUACAUUGAAAAUGUGCUCAUUAAAUAUGGGAUAUACAAUAGAUACUUUUCCUGACAUACACAUGCAGUGAAUUGGUCUCAGAUAUAAUUGUAAUACAUAUAACAUGUUAAUAGUUUUACUAUGA